AUUGAACGCUGGCGGCAUGCCUUACACAUGCAAGUCGAACGGCAGCACGGGAGCAAUCCUGGUGGCGAGUGGCGAACGGGUGAGUAAAGUAUCGGAACGUGCCCAGUCGUGGGGGAUGACGUAGCGAAAGUUACGCUAAUACCGCAUACGAUCUAUGGAUGAAAGCGGGGGAUCGCAAGACCUCGCGCGAUUGGAGCGGCCGAUAUCCGAUUAGGUAGUUGGUGGGGUAAAGGCUCACCAAGCCGACGAUCUGUAGCUGGUCUGAGAGGACGACCAGCCACACUGGGACUGAGACACGGCCCAGACUCCUACGGGAGGCAGCAGUGGGGAAUUUUGGACAAUGGGCGAAAGCCUGAUCCAGCCAUGCCGCGUGCAGGAUGAAGGCCUUCGGGUUGUAAACUGCUUUUGUACGGAACGAAAAGGUUUGGCCUAAUAAGCUGAGCUCAUGACGGUACCGUAAGAAUAAGCACCGGCUAACUACGUGCCAGCAGCCGCCGUAA
rnacentral:rRNA from 1 species